UCCGAUGAGGAGCGAGCCCGGCCCUGAGCGAUGAUGAGAGCUACCACUACUGAGG
rnacentral:snoRNA from 14 species